UAAAGUAUAAUAAAAAAUAUUUUUGAAAAAGAAAUUCAUGUUUCUCGAACUUUAACAUGCAUAAAAAUUACCUGAAUGUUUUGUUAAAAUGCAGACUGUUUAGGAAGACUGGGAUGGGACCUGAGAUUUCGAAUUGCUCUCCAACUCCCAGGUGAUGCUGAGGCUGCUGCUGCAUGAACCACAUUUGGAGCUGCAAGGUUACUGUUCCCUCCUGUUAUCUCAGGACCUUAAAUGAAGUGUUGUCCCAAAAGUUACAGCCUGGCUUCAUCUGUGUCAAGGAAAUCUCUCUUAUACACCGGACACUCAAGGAAAAGGGAGGGAGUGCAUCCAUUACACUUUUCCCUUCCCUCCUCAACCAAGAGUGGCAUGGAAAUAGCAGCAUUAGCCACAGACAGGUCGCAGUUCUAGAAGAGUAAACGGCAACUGGCAUUUGGCCUAAGUGGCCAGUGGACAGAGUGGAGAUUGAUGGUCUGAGCCCGUGGAAGCAGAGAUUAACUGACUCAGGAAAGCACAUGAAAUACCACCACCUUUGAGGAUUCCUGGGGAAGGGGACUGUGGCCCAGCUAAUUUGAUAAAUGGAGUCUUGAAGUUGUUGUAAAUAAUAGGAAAAUGACCUUCCUUAUUUAUGUUUGCAGGCUAGGGAAAACUGGACUUACAGGGAAUGAAUCAAGUUGGAUAGUUGAAGCUCAAAAACCAUUGCAAAAUACCUUUGUGCUUAGCUUUGUGGCUGCUUCACUGUGAAUAGCUGCCUUUCACAGUUGUUUGUAUUUAGUCCAUGAUAUUGAGAACAGACAAUCCUAAAUGGGAGAGGACCUGUCCAAUAGAAUCCUAUGGAUCCAUGAAUCAAAAAAGCACAAAAAUACAUUUUUGACUGCAAGCAGGGUGCCUCAGCUUUUGCUACAUGGUAUUCUUACAAAAGUCAUUGAAAGCAGAGGAAUGGUAAGGAAUGAAUCAUCUUUUCAUCUCCUGCUGUGGUGUAACCAGUACUUACCUUCUUCCACCCACUGGCGUUCCUGAAUUGGUAAGGCAAAAUGUUAACAAGUUGACUUUGAGAUGGAUGAAUCAGCGGGGAAACUGUUGAAUGAGCGAAUCAAUGAAGUGAAAAGUGAAAUAUAGGGGUUUGUCAGCACCAUCCAGGCAGCAGAUGGAUGGAAUUUAAGAGGGGAUGGCAGUGAGGACCGCCUGCACAUUUUUCUUUUUCUCAGUAUUAAUAAUUGAGAGUAGCUUAAUCUUCAAGUUCCCUCUCCAAGAGCUACAUCAAGUGGGGAGUACUUUUUAACUUUCUCAUCUGUAGAAACAAUGAUUUUAAUCAAAUUAUUCAGAGUUAAAUUCUGUAGGCCCUAAGCCCUGGACAGUGAUGAAGGCCAUGGUCUAUCAGGAAAGGUAGGAGUUGGCUGGAUUAGGGGUAGGGAAUUCUAUACGAAAGGUACAAAUGUGAAUGCAAAUGUUACUACUGAUCGCAAAUGCUUACGCAGCAUUUGUUAUGUGCCAAGCACUCUUCUAAGGGCUGUACACGAGCAAGCCCAGGGUCAAAGCCACAUCCUCCCAGGAGCUUUGAAGGUCCCCAAAUGCAAAGGCGGCAGGGGUGAAGAAUGGGGAAACUUGAUUUACAGUAUUUUUAUUUUCUUUUCUGCGUAUUCUGGCAACGUACCUCACUAAUCACAUAGAGGUGAAAUUGAAAACAAAUGAGUUUAUGCAGUCCACAUUCAGUAAAGGUAGACUGCAAAAGGAAGAAGGGAAAAGUUUUUAUUUCUUUUGUGGAGCUUGGUGACAAAUUCUUUUGAGCCUUACACUAACUCCAUGAUGUGGUCUGAUAUGAUCCUCUCUAUUCUACAAUUGCUUCCACUCCCUCUCCCUUCCCCUCAACCAGUUUCUUCAAGCACAGCUGAAAUCUAGGAAUGAACAUGUUGAUACGCCUAAUCCUGGGCCCUCGUGGGAAUAUUCAUUAAGCAUAACCUUACCCUUUGCCAACUGCUAGAUAAAUCAGUUUCAUCAGAUGGUGCACACUGGAGCCAGAUAACUUCUAAAGACCUUUGCAAAUCUGUUUCAGAAUGCGUGACCCGUUCUAUCCUUCCUCUCAUAGAAACGCCAACUCAUCCAUGCCCUCUGUGCGGUCUCAGCCUGCUGAAAUCACCUGCACCCCAUGGGAACUGUAGCCGUAUCUUCAGUCCUGGGAGCCUCCGCAUGCCCUGUCACAGGAGUAAAUGAGGAGUAAGGCCCAGAAUACUCAGUACCUCUUAAUGACCCUCAGACGAUGUAGGAAGGAGAUUGGUUCACCUUUUAAGCCAGAAUUUCUCACGUUUAAUGGUUAGUGUAAUCCUUUUCUGUCUAGUUAUAUUUUUGCUGAACUGGCUUUCAAUGGAACACUUUUAAGGCAAUGAGAAUUUAAUUUAAUGUUCCCAGCAUUUGUAUGAAGAAGGUGCCGUUAGUCUCAUUUCAUGGAUGGGAAGACAGAGCCCCCCGACCUCAGUGUCCUCGUAUAGCUUGACCAAGUUCAUUGGGUGGCUCUGUGGAACUCUGAUCUAGGUCCUCUGAGUCCAAAUCUAUGCCUUUUUCUGCUGUGUCUGGAUCUCCACCAGCUUUGAGACUUGCCAAAUUCUCCUAUGUGCCAGAUCUGCAUGCUAAUUAUGGUUCAUGCUUUUGUUUCACCAUGAAACCCCAGGUUUGGGUUGCAAAUCCCUAACCAGUCAGAGAGGAAGCACGAAAAGGUGACCUCCCUGGGUAACUUCCAAGGCCACAUACAAACUCCUCUUCUGUUUCCUCUCCUGCUGCCAACUCCACACACCUCCAAUUGUCUCCAUUCUUCAUUCUAACUUGGCAGGCGAUGCACUACAGGAGGCCUGUUUCUAAUAUGGUACCUCACACCUCCUGGUACCCCACAACAUGUGUCAGCUUCCUCUCCCCUUGAGUGUUGACUAGACCAAGUAACUCACUUCUAACAAAUAGACUAUGGCAAACCUGUUGGGCUGUCCCCUCCCAGGUUAGAUUAGGUACUAGUCAGGAACUUCCAGAGAAACAGAACAUGUAAUAUACGGCAUUCAAUUAUAGAGGUUGGCAAGUCUCAAGAUCCCCAAGCUCUGCAGGUGGAGUCUACAAGCUGGAGACCCAGAAGCUGAUGGUGUAGCUUUCAUCCAAACGCUAGCAGGCUCGAGACCCUGGAAGAGCCAGUGUUUCAGUGUGAGACCAAAUGAAGGAAACAGCUGAUAUCCCAUUACAAAGGCAGUCAGGCAGGAGGAGCUCCUUCUUGGUUGAGUGAGGGUCAGUCCUUUUCUUCUAUUCAAGUUCUCAACUGAUUGGGUGAGGUCCAUCCAUUUUGAGGAGGGCAAUCUGCUCUACUCAGCCUACCAAUUUCAAUGUUCAUUUCAUCCUCACAGAGACACCCAGCAUAAUGCUUAACCAAAUAUCUGGGUGACCAAGUAAGCUGACACAAAAAAUUAGCCAUCACAGGUUUCAAAAAUCUUCUGUGACUUCUUCUGUCUUGCUCCCACUCUCUCUGGUCCUUUCUGCUUGCUUGCUCUGCUGAAGCAAGCUGCCAGGUUGUGGGCUGUCUUAUAGAGAGCCCCACAUAGCAAGGAACUGAGGUAGCUUCCAGGCAACAGCCAGCAAGGAGCAGAGACCCUGAGUCCAACAGCUGGUGAGGAACUUCGUCCUACUAAUAGCCAUGUGAGUGAGUUUGGAGGCAAGUUUCUUUCCUGUCUGUUGAGCCUUGAGAUGACUGCGACCCUGGUUGACAUCUUAAUUAUAACCUGUUGGAUCCUAAAGCAGGGAACCCAGCUAAGCCAUGUCUGGAUUCCUGGUCUAUAGAAACCAUGAGAUAAUAAAUGUUAUUUUAACACA